AUUAUUACAUGUUAAUCUCUCAAAGGCUCCUUUCCAUGUAGACCUGUGGGUGUCUGCCUGACCUGUAGUCUGAAGAUGCUCUUUCUGAAGUCUUAGGAGGGCCCUUCAGUGAGGAUGCCCGAAGCUGAAGGCUUUACUUCUGUUUCAAGGACUGGAUGCGUCAUCACUAUCACCAUCAUCAACACCACCACCACCACCACCAGCAGCAGCAACAAAGAUAAACUCACUUGUUAGAGUGAAGACUAACAGGAUUACCAGAAGGAGCCACCUACUCAGUGCAGUGAACAAGACGUGUGGUCUGAAGAUACACAACACCGAGACAGGACUGUGUGGUGCUCACAUGCCACGAGCAGAGUUCAAACAGCAUCCAAGCCCUGAA
rnacentral:lncRNA from 1 species